UCUCGUACUAUGGAGCUAGUAUUGGG
rnacentral:sRNA from 1 species